AGCGUAGACGGCAUGGCAAGCCAGAUGUGAAAGCCCGGGGCUCAACCCCGGGACUGCAUUUGGAACUGUCAGGCUAGAGUGUCGGAGAGGAAAGCGGAAUUCCUAGUGUAGCGGUGAAACGCGUAGAUAUUAGGAGGAACACCAGUGGCGAAGGCGGCUUUCUGGACGAUGACUGACGUUGAGGCUCGAAAGCGUGGGGAGCAAACA
rnacentral:rRNA from 1 species